CCUCCGCCGCCUCCUCCGCAGCACCGCCUCCCAACCUAGGAACCAGUAUAACAACUACAGAUCACAUACAAUGUAAGUGGAGAGAACAAAUGGAAAACACAAUGUGGAGGGCGGAGCUCAAGGAGGAGCUGGGCGCGUCGUAUAGUGGAGAUCUGGGGGUGGCACAACGACGGCCACAAUUCGAGCUGUUAUUUGAAUUGUUCCAAAAAGACCCAUUUAUCUUGUUGUGAUAAUUAUGAACAUGAAGGUUAAAACCAUUUAUCUUGUA